rnacentral:rRNA from 1 species
AUUGAACGCUGGCGGCAGGCCUAACACAUGCAAGUCGAGCGGGGUUUUCGGACCUAGCGGCGGACGGGUGAGUAAUGCGUAGGAAGCUGCCCGAUAGAGGGGGAUACCAGUUGGAAACGACUGUUAAUACCGCAUAAUGUCUACGGACCAAAGUGUGGGACCUUCGGGCCACAUGCUGUCGGAUGCGCCUACGUGGGAUUAGCUAGUUGGUGAGGUAAUGGCUCACCAAGGCGACGAUCUCUAGCUGGUUUGAGAGGAUGAUCAGCCACAAUGGAACUGAGACACGGUCCAGACUCCUACGGGAGGCAGCAGUGGGGAAUAUUGGACAAUGGGCGCAAGCCUGAUCCAGCCAUGCCGCGUGUGUGAAGAAGGCCUUCGGGUUGUAAAGCACUUUCAGCGAGGAGGAAGGGUGGUGUGUUAAUAGCACAUCAUUUUGACGUUACUCGCAGAAGAAGCACCGGCUAACUCUGUGCCAGCCGCCGCAGUAAGAC